ACUCAAAUGAAUAGACGGGGGCCCGCACAAGCGGUGGAGCAUGUGGUUCAAUUCGACGCAACGCGAAGAACCUUACCUGGGCUUGAACUGUCUUGGAAGGCGCCUGAAAGGGUGCUUUGCCCGCAAGGGAAUCAAGAUAGAGGUGCUGCAUGGCUGUCGUCAGCUCGUGCCGUGAGGUGUUGGGUUAAGUCCCGCAACGAGCGCAACCCUUGCCCUUAGUUGCUACCAGGUAAUGCUUGAGCACUCUAAGGGGACCGCUAACGAUAAGUUGGAGGAAGGUGGGGAUGACGUCAAGUCAGCAUGGCCUUUAUGUCCAGGGCCACACACGUGCUACAAUGGGCGGUACAGAAGGUUCCAAACCCGCGAGGGGGAGGCAAUCCCAAAAACCGCUCCCAGUUCGGAUUGCAGUCUGCAACUCGACUGCAUGAAGCUGGAAUCGCUAGUAAUCGCGGAUCAGCACGCCGCGGUGAAUACGUUCCCGGGCCUUGCACACACCGCCCGU
rnacentral:rRNA from 1 species